rnacentral:rRNA from 1 species
UAGGGAAUAUUGCACAAUGGAGGAAACUCUGAUGCAGCGAUGCCGCGUGAGUGAAGAAGGCCUUUGGGUUGUAAAGCUCUUUCGUCGGGGAAGAAAAUGACUGUACCCGAAUAAGAAGGUCCGGCUAACUUCGUGCCAGCAGCCGCGGUAAUACGAAGGGACCUAGCGUAGUUCGGAAUUACUGGGCUUAAAGAGUUCGUAGGUGGUUAAAAAGUUGAUGGUGAAAUCCCAAGGCUCAACCUUGGAACUGCCAUCAAAACUUCUUAGCUAGAGUGUGAUAGAGGUAAGUGGAAUUUCUAGUGUAGAGGUGAAAUUCGUAGAUAUUAGAAAGAACACCAAAUGCGAAGGCAACUUUACUUGGGUUCACUACUGACACUGAGGAGCGAAAGCAUGGGUAGCGAAGA